GACGAACCGUGCAAACGUUGUUCGGAAUCACUGGGCUUAAAGGGCGCGUAGGCGGGCAAGCAAGUCCGGGGUGAAAUCUUUCGGCUUAACCGGAAAAGUGCCUUGGAUACUGCUUGUCUUGAGGGAGGUAGGGGCAUGCGGAACUUCUGGUGGAGCGGUGAAAUGCGUUGAUAUCAGAAGGAACGCCGGUGGCGAAAGCGGCGUGCUGGACCUCUUCUGACGCUGAUGCGCGAAAGCUAGGGGAGCAAACGGG
rnacentral:rRNA from 1 species